rnacentral:rRNA from 1 species
ACACUGACGUCGCGACGCAUAUCAAUAAGCGGAGGAAAAGAAACUAACUAAGGAUUCCCUCAGUAACGGCGAGUGAAGCGGGAAGAGCUCAAAUUUCGAAAUCUUCAAGGUUUUACCCUUGACGAAUUGUAGUUUAAAGAAGUGUUUUCUGUUAGAGGAGUGGUAAAAGUUCUUUGGAAUAGGACAUCAUAGAGGGUGAGAAUCCCGUAUUUGACCAUUAUUUUCAGCUGUGUGAUACACUUUCAAAGAGUCGGAUUGUUUGGGAAUGCAGUCCAAAAUGGGUGGUAAAUUUCAUCUAAAGCUAAAUAUUGGCGAGAGACCGAUAGCGAACAAGUACUGUGAGGGAAAGAUGAAAAGAACUUUGAAAAGAGAGUUAAACAGUACGUGAAAUUGUCAAAAGGGAAGCGUUUGACACCAGUGUUGUUUUUCCGAAAAUCAAUUAUAAAUGUUUUGUUUCUGAGGAGUGAUGACUUCAUCGGCUUCCUUCCUCUCUUCACGAAACUUUUGUAAUGCACUUUUCGGUUAACAAGUCAACAUCAAUUUCUUUUGUUGUAAAAGAGUAUUCGGAAGGUGGCUUUCUUUUCGGAGAAAGUGUUUAUAGCCCUAUACUUCUACAAUCGGAGAGAUUGAGGUCUGCAGCGUAGAUCCUUCGGGGUUAGAUACACUUGUGCUAAGUUAUAGCUUUUCAUAGACAACUUGUUGACUAUGUUUAGUCUUGUAGCUUACUCGCUUGUGCUAUUUUACCUACGCUUAGGAUGUUGAGUCGUAGAGCACGCAG